GCAGGAAGAUCAAUAUCCCCUCCCCCAGAGCUAGCAUGACACCCCACGGCUGCCAGCAUAGGCCCAAGGGCCAGGUGGCCUGUGAGGCUGCAGCUGAGCCCCUCAUGGUGUGCAUCCAGGGCACUGGGGACCAGGUGACCAGACAGCAGCUCCAGGCCUGGGUUCCCCAAGGGUGGCCUGCUGAGCAGCAGCAGCAGCCAGAGCACGGGGCAUGCUGCAUAGGCAACGGGGUCUCGGUGGCCAGCACAAGAGAAGGGCCAGCUGAGACAGGUGUGCCUGGUGGCAGGUAGGAGGGGGCAUCCUCACUUCAGGACAUGUGCUGAGCACAAGGACUGCGACUAGAGAAAGAGCAGUUCCUAAAAUAAGGCCUGUGUCUCGGAGCAGGGCAGCAGGCCACCUCUCCUGCGGCUGGAGAGAGCCCUGUUCUGCAGCCGGACAGUGGCACUGGGUAAGCAGGGUGGGUCCUGUUCUAGAGCAUGAGAAGCGUCUUCUAGGUUUAAAGGUACAGCCAAGUGUAUUCUUGGUGUGAAUCCAUUAAAGGAAAAGGGAUGACUCCUGGGAUUAGAAUUCAAAAUGACGGAGCCGAGCUGAUCUGGGAACUAGGAUGGGAAGUGGCAGGACAGGCACUGGGAGAGGGGUGAGGCAGGACUGGGGAUCAAAUGGCUUCCUGUGGCACCUGAUGCACCUCAGAGGAACCGCGUGUGCUGGUGUGUGCGUGUGUAUGCACAUACUGAUGCUUGUUCACUGAGCAUGAGAAUGGGAGGCAGUUCUGAGAGGGAGACUGGCUUCACUGGGGACUCGGACCCUCUGAAGAGCUGUGGACCUCUGUGUAGAGAGGAGGGCAUGCAGAGGGCGCUGGACAUCUUUAGCAGAACACACCCAGGGAGAACAUCCAUGUUCAGCUGGGCUGGCUGCACCUUCCCCUGGGCGAGUGCAGGCUCCCCACUCCUCAGGCCCCUUGCUGUGGCCCAGCUGGGACUCCACGUUCCCAGGUCACUUCAGGGUACAACUGGAAUCUGACUAUUUAAACAGACACUCCCAGGUGAAGUAAGGACCGGCCAGAGACUGCUCUGGGAGAUUCUCCCUGGAAACUACCGCAGGGCCAGUUAGCUUCGCAGCACUGGAUGAUAUCGCAGCUCUCGAUUCUGAGACGCACGGCACAGACAGUUACACUUUGACAUCUGUGCGGGGCGUGUGUGCUUCCCAAGCUUGACAGCGGCUGCAAUCGUGACAUGGCUGACCCUGACCUAGCUACAUUCCAGGGGCACCUUCAGCAUUUCAGUAAGAAAACCCCUAUGGAGUUAAAGAAGGAGGACAUAUCUGCACAAUAAGGGGGUCAAUUCAACAAUGGAAAGCAAUGAUCCUAAAGAUAUGUACCCAAAGAGUUUGUAACGCACAAGGAGACGGAGACGUGAGAAGCAGAAAAACCCCCGUGAGAUCAGAGAUUUCCACACCUGCCUUUCAGUAACAGUUAGAAGAUGUGGUCAGGACAUGGAUAAAUAUGUAUAAGAUUUGAACACCGUUACCAGCCAACCUGGCGUAACUAACAUGUAUGGAUCCAUCAGAACACGGUGUUUCAAAUGCACUGAGGACGCUUACCCAGACGAUUCUAUUCUUGGUCAUAGAAGAACCAUAAAUACGUGCACAUACAAGGACAUGCAUGGGAAGUGUUUUCAGCAGGUUAAUCUAUAAAUCCAAAGUCUGGAAACAACCUGAAAUUCCAUCAAAGGUGAGUGGACAAACCACAGUCCAGCCAGUGCAAGACCAUUUGGCAAGGAAAGAAGAGGACCGUUGAUGUCGUGACCUCCUGGGUGAAUCCCAAGCAACUAAGCCCCAUGAGAGGCCGACCCCAAGAGCUCACGGUAUGAUCACAUGACUCAUGUAGAAUGUGGGCAGAGGGAAUCUCUCUGUAGAGCUAAAUCAGAUCUGCACCUGCCUAAGGGUCAGCGUGGAGGCUGCCCACAGGUUCUAAGAGGUACUGAGGCUGACCACAGGUACUAAGAGGUACUGCAGAGGGGGAAGACAUGCUGGGGGGAGGUUCUCCUCCUGAUGAUGGUGACGGCUUCACAUGUGUCAAUGCAUAGCCACUCAUGCACCUGAAGUCAUGCAGGUAAUUCAAGAAGAACUCCAGAGUGAGAAGACAGUGCUGUCCCCUUGGUUGGCACCCGAGAGGAUGGGACAGCCAAUGGUACGCAGCAUCAGAGGCCAGGCCGCUGCCCAAUGCUCAUCCCCCACCACAGGUCCUCAGCCACAGUGUCAAGGGAGCAAGGGGACCUCACACCCGUCUGGUCAUGAUGCCCAUUUCCAGGAACAGAAGCUGUGGGCCAGGGAAGGGCCAGAGCAUCCACGCACAGGACAGUUAAGGCGUCUUAUAAAUAAGACAAGAAAAAUAACAAACUUGCCAAAUGAAAGGACGCAGCCACAGAAAGCAUGAAUGACACGAGGCUGAAGCCGAGUACAGCCCAGGGACGCAGCCACUCCACUUGCAGGGAAGCACACAGUGACGCCCCGCCCCGGGAGAGGCCACAGGCUCUCCACUGACAGUCUCACUGCAGGCUUGAGCCGUAGUCAUUAGCAUACAGCUUGGAGCCUUCUGUAGUGAAAAUCAGAUAUGACGUUGAGGUAUAACCGGUGGUUGUGCCCGGAAACCUCCUCUACUCUUUGGCAAUAAUACUCGGAACUGUUUCUGCUUCAAGGUCCAGUUUUGAGAUCCUAACCUAACACAUGGCAUCGGAAAUUUCAACAUGCAGGUGAUGUGGGUCCAAGGCAUGGGUGGAUCCUGUGCCCGGGUCCCCAAACCCUGCCAAGUGAAUCUGAGUGAACUCUCCUAUCUGGCACAAAGCGGGGGCGACUGCUGGAGCCCAGGGUGCCGUGGUGGUUUCUGUGACAGUGCGAUGCCUCCCAACAUGCGAGGCCUCGGGACUGUCCCUUGCAGACAUUGCUUGCACGUCUGUUGUUUCCAGGCUCAAGAUGAACCCUGGGAACAAAGGGAGGAGCAGCGCACGGUCCCUUCCCACGGGGCUGAGCACAGUGGGGGGACAAACACGGGCACAUGAUCACGCGCCUGGCUCCUCCAAGCCUCUGGACUGGCCGUGUGCCAUUCUGGUAGCCACUUUCUGUUUUCACAAAUCAUUUUAGUUCUUUUCUUAAUUUUUCUAGAGAGACAGCUGGAACUCUCAUUCGCCCUUUUCUAGUAUCACUUUUUCUUCUUCUUUCUUUUUUUUUUGGCAAGUAAAAUUGCAUGAUUUAGAAGCACAACCCAUUUUGACACAUGUGUAUAUUGUACAAUGGGUAAAUGAAGCUAUUUGAGUUAAGCAUUAUUCAUGCCUAUUUUUUUUUUGUGGAGAGAACAGCUGACAUUUACUCUCUUAGCCGUCUUCAAGUACACAGCAUAUUAUUUUCAACCACAUUGCACAGAAGAUUUCUUGAACUUAUUUCUCCCAUUUCACUGAAAGUUUGCAUCCUCAGGACAACAUCUCUCCCACACCCACCAUAAUAGCUUCUCGUAACUGCUCUUCUUUUUGGUUUCUCUAAAUUUGUUAGUGAGGUCAUGCAAUUCUUGAUUUUCUGGCUUAUUUCAGAUGACAUGAUGUCCUCCAGGUUCAUCCAUGCUGUGACAAAUGACGGAUUUCCUUCCUUUCCGAGGCUGGAUGGUGCUGCUGUACAUACACAACACAUUUUCUUAUGCACUUGCCUGGCGCAUGACACUUGGUGUUCCAUACCUUGGCUGUGACUAGAGCUGUGGUGAGCACCAGGGGACCAAUGUCUCUGCACAGUGGUUUCAUUCCUUCUGGAUACACUCCAGAGUGGGUUUGCUACAGUGUGUGGUGAUUCUCUUUUAUGGUUUGAUGAUGAUGGUCCAUACUGUUUUCCAAAGUUGUUUUUAUAUAAUAUAUUUAUUAUAUAUUAUAUAAUCCCCAUCAACACCAUUGACUAUUCUAUAAUCCCCAUCAACUGGGUGCAACCUUCCUUCAUGGCCAAUGCCUGUUGUUAUCAGUUGUACCAGGGAUUGAACCCACAGGUUCAUAACCAUCCAGUCACAUCCCCAGCCCUUUUAUAGUUUUUGUUUUGAGACAGAGCCUCGCUAAGUUGCUGCGGCUGGCUUUGAACUUGCCAUCCCCCUGCCUCAUACUCGGGAGCUGCUGGGGUCACAGGCGUGUGCCACCAUGCUCGGCUCAGCCCUCAUUUUGCUACUAGUAGUCAGAACAGUGUGAGCUAAUAUUUUAUUGUGGUUUUAACUUGCAUUUCCCUGAUGAUUGGAGAUGUGAAGAAUUUCUUCCUGUAUCUGUUGGCUUACUGGUUUCUUUCUUCUGAGAAAAGUCUGUCCAGAUCCUUUCCCGUUUUAAAAACCAGGUUGUUUCUCACUAUUGGGUGUUUGAGGUCCUUAUAUAGUUUAGAUAUUAACCUCUGCCAGAUGUACAAUUGGGGAAUAUUUCCAUGUUCUCUGCAGGUUGCUUCUUUGCUUUCCUGAUUUUUUUUCUUUGCUGUGCAGAACUUCUUAGUUUGGUACAUCUCUAUUUGUCUCUCUCUGCUUUUUAUGUCUGUGCUUUGGGGUCUCUCCAGGAAAUCAUUACCUACCAAUGCCUCUGAGCAUUUCCUCUAGGAUUCAUUCUAGCAGGUUUACAGUCAGCUGUUAAGUCAAGUCUUAAAUUUAAGUCUUCUAUUUUCUGUUAAUUUUUGUAUAUGGUAUGAGAUAAAGGUCCAAGUUCAUUAAUUUCUAAGUGGAUACAGAGUUGUCCCAACAGUAUUUAUCAGAAUGAUUGUUCUUUCCCCAUUUUGUGUUUUUGGUACCUUGGUGAAAAAUCAGUUGACUAUAAGCGUGAGGAUUUAUUUUUGGACUCUGUGCUGUUGCGUUGGUCUGUGCCUGUUUUUAUGCUGGUACCAUGCUGUUUUGAUCACUAUGGCUUCAUAAUAUGUUUUGAAGUCAGGUAGUCUGCUUCAUCUAGUUUUGUUCUUUUUACCUAAAAUUUCUUUGAUUAUUCUAGGUAUUGUAUGGGUUGACAUGAAUUUUAGGAAUUUUUUUCUAUUUCUGCAAAGAAUGCCACCGGAAUCUCUGUAGAGAUUGCAUGGAAUCUGUAGAUUCCUUUAGGCAAUGUGGACAGUUAAACCGUAUUUGUUCUUCCAACCCUUGAGCAAGCCUUGUCUUUCUGUUUGUUUGUGUCUUCAAUUUUUUCAUUAAUGUUUAUUGUCAUCAGUAUCUAUAUUAUUCACCUCCUUGGUUAGUUAAAUUUAUUCCUAAGAUUUUUUUUUUCUUGUAGAGCUACUAUGAAUGCAGUUGAUUCCUGGUUUCUUUUUCAGAUUGUUGUUAGUGCAUAGAAAUAUUACUGAUUUUUUUCAAGUUAAUUUUGAACCCUAAAAGUACUAAAUCUGUCUAUUAGUUCCAAUGGGUUUUUGGUUUACAUAUGUAAAAUCAAGAAGUAUACAUGUCUGUUUAUCUAUUUCUAUACCUAUGUGUGUAUGUAUCUGGUUAUGAAUCCGUGUGUCGGUGUGUGUGUGUGUGUGUGUGUGUGUGUGUGUCUGGUUAUGGACGGUGUGUCAAUGUGUGUGUGUAAGUAUGUGCCCAUCUGACCUCCCAUCUAUCUACUCCAAUGGGGACAGUUUCCUUUCUUUGCUUCCAGUGUGGAUGCCCUUUACUCUUCUACCUGCCUAAGUGCUCCAGCCACCCUCUAGUACCAUGUGGCAUAGGAGUGGCGAAGGUGGGCAUCCUGUGCUGUUCUAAUCUUGGGGGAAAAGCUGUCAGCUCUCCAUGUGGGGUGUGGUGCCAGCUGUGGGUCGAUCAGAUAUGGCCCUCACUUUGUUGAGGUGAACCCUUUUUAUGCCUGCUUUCUCAGGGUUUUAUCUUGAGAGGAUAUGGGAUUUUGUAAAAGGUCUGCAUCUAGAGAUGGUCUCAUGGUCUUUGUCCUUCAUUCUGUCCAUGUGGCAUAGCCCGUGUUCACCCCACGUGUAUUGAACAAUGCUUGUAUCCUGGGGAGCAGUCCCCCUGAGCGUGGCGACUGGUCCUUCCCAUGAGCUCUUGCACUUGGUUUGCUGGUGUUUGCAUGAGGGUUUUUGCUUCUGUGCUCAGGAGGACCUUUUCUUUUCCGAUGGUGCCCUUUUCUGGCUUUGGUACUAGGGAAUGUGACCUUGUGAAUGAGUAUUACCGUUUGAGAAGGAUGCGUUACUCUUUGCUGAAUGCUUCGUGGAGGUCAGCAAGAAAGCCACUGUGUCUGGGCUGGCCUCCACUGGGGCCUCCCCAGUCCUGCAUGUCCCUCACAUGCUCACAGAGCUAUUUCCUUGUGAUUCAGCGGGUACACUCGCGGCCUCUAGGCCAUCCAGAGUGUUGGCAUAUGAUAAUAGCUCACAGGAGCCUCAGCGUCCUCUGCAGUUUUGUAUAUGGCAUGACACUUGUAGUGUCUCCUGUCUCGUUUCUGAUUUUAUUUGAGUCUUUUGUAUUUUUUUUCUUGGUUAGUCUAGCCAAAGUUUUAUUAACUUUGAUCAUCUUUUCAAAAAACCCACUCUGGGUUUUGUUGGUCUUUCCUGCUGUUUUUCUUGGUCUCCAUUUCACUCAUUUCUGCUCUGCUCUUUGUUUCUCCCUUCUGUUAACUUUAGGCUUAUGUUCUUCUUUUCCUCUUACCUUGAGGCGUAAGCUUAGGUUGCUUAUUUAGCAUCUUUCUUGUUUUGAGUGUCUUGAUUGCUGCUCACUUUUCCUCAGACCUGUUUCUGUUGCAUUCCAUAAGUUUUGGUAUGUUGUCUGUCUAGUUCUGCUUGUUUUAAGAUAUUUUUAAUUUUUCAAAAAAAAAUUUUUUUUUUGGCACCAGGGAUUGGACUCAGGGGCACUCAACCAUUGAGCCACAUCCCAGCCCUAUUUUGUGUUUUAUUUAGAGACAGGGUCUCACUGAGUUACUGAGCACCUCACUUAUGCUGAAGCUGGCUUUGAACUAGUGAUCCUCCUGUCACAGCCUCCUGAGCUGCUGGGAUUACAGGUGUGCACCACUGUGCCCAGCUUGAUUUUUUAUUUUUUAUUCUUUGAUUAUUAUUAUUUGGGGGGGGUAUACUGUUCAACUUCCAUGUAGUUGUGAAUUUACCUUAAUUCUUUCUAUUGUUGAUUUCUAGUUUCAUACCACUGUGUUCAGAGAAUGACUUCAACGUUUUAAAAUUUGCUGCGACUCAUUUUGUGCUCAAACGUGUGAUCCAUCUUGAAGAUUGUUCCAUGUGCACUUGGGAAAAAGUUGUGUUCUUCUGUGGUUGCAUAGAAUGUUCUAGGUGUGUCUGUCAGGUCCUCCUGGUCUGAGAUGUAGGUCAAGCACCAUGUUACCUCACCGUGUUCUUUCUGGAUGAGCUGUGUGUUGUCAGUGUGGCUGCUUCUUGGGUGGGGGACAGAUGUGCGGCUGCCUGUCCCUCUCCUGGGUUCCCCUGAGGGAAUGGGUGAUGUCCAGCUCAGGGACAAGAGGCGCCCAUGUCCUCUGGGAAGCAGGCCCCGGGACAAUGUGGCUCCUGCAGGUAGCUGGUGCCCACGGCCUCUGCCUUUUCUCUGUGCUUCCAUCAGUCUCCGGCUGUCUCAGGGUGUCACCAGCGACCCUUGUCCCACUCCACUGUGUCUGGGGUUUGAGCCCUCUCUGGGUCAGGAGCUUUGUGAAUAGCCAUCUUCCUUUGUGUCUUUCGUGGGAGGGUGAAAACUGCUCUCUCUGACUCCACCUCCUUUGUCUGGUGGAUCUCAGUUUCGUUCCUUGAGCUGAAUUCUCCCUCUGUUCUCUCUGUCUACCUUCAACUCUGGGGUUAGGGUGUAAGGAGCAGAACCCUGGUGGCUCUUGGGGCCAUGGCCAGCUCCAGGCGCCCAGCAAUUGGCUCAUGCCAGGCAAUGGUGCUGCCUUCCUGUUUUCAGCUGGAAAUUCCAAAAGGACGGCCUGCCUUUCUGGUAUCUUCUGGUAUUUCUGUUUUGGGUUGCAAAGGAAGUAUUGAGGUUUCAGAGGGAAAACCUCAAAUUGUUAUCCAAACAUGGAAGAGUUGACGGUCAUCAUAACUGUGCCUUAAGUGUGGCAGCAGGAGCCAGGCAGAGCAGGGGAGCUCCUGUGGGUUUCUCCAGGUGAAAAGUGGGUGGCCUGAGCUGGGGGAAAGGGCUCCUUCUGUGGCGGAUUUUGAUACUUUUCUUUUCUGCUUGUACCCAAUUGAGUGUGAACACCCGACCUGCUGCCAGCUGUUGGUGUGCAUGUCUGCUUCCUGCUGGACCCCACACUCUUCUUCUCUUUGUUUAUUCUGCUUCAUGUGGUCCUCCACCGGGCAUCCAACAGCCCCUGAGCUGGCCCUUCGCGGGCCAGGCCAUGGUGCUCGCUGGCUGGCACACAAAGAUGCGGCCGGACCCUUGCAAACAAGCCCCUGCCCUGAGUUCUCCAGGGCCCGUUCUGCUCCACUUCUUGGGGUCAGCCCAGCUCCAGCUCCACCCACAACCCCAAUACCUUGUCAAAGUAGCACCAUGAAGGUCCCCAGGAACCCCUCUCUGUGUCUGGGGCAUGUCUUUGUCAGGGAAGCGACUAAUUGUGCGAAGGUUUGGAGCUGUGCUGCUGCCAGCCCUGGAGAGGGAUGCUGCUUCUCAGAGGUGAGGGGAUCCGAGGCGGAGACACUUAGGUAAGAGGAGAGACAGAUUAAUUAUCUUGUCAAACCUUUCUUCUCAGCGAGCACACUGAAGCAGACCCUUGCAUAAUGAGGUAUCACUUCCCCACGAUGCUGCGCGCCCACAUUUUCCCCUUCUCCUCAUGUUCUAAUUUUUGUUCCAAAGGUCUUUGUGAAUUAGCACAGAUUUCACAACAGUUACACAAGGUGGACCAGGAGCAUGUUGAAACCUUAAAUCAGUCAGGUGGAUCUUCAAUCUGCCUGUAUGUAGGUCUAGAUGUUACACUCUUGAAGUAUGAUAUGAAUUUUAACAAAUUAGUUAUAGGUGGUCUCAAUGUCUUCAUUUUAUUUAUUUAUGUGGUGCUGAGGAUCAAACUCAGUGCCCCACACACGGGAGGCAAGCACUGUACCCCUGAGCCACAACCCCAGCCCUGAUAGGAAUUCUUUACAUGGGAAUUCAGUGGAUAUUGAACACAAAAUUGCAAAUUCUUAUUAAAAGUGAUGGGUUUUAUUGAUUUUUCAAAAGCACAAAUCAGCUUGUUUGAAGAUUUUGAUGUUAAUUUAGUUAUCUGUUAUUGGGAUUUGAAUUUUGCAGAACUAUCAUGAAGAAGGGUUGUUACAAAUGAAUUGAUAUGCAGACUGUUCUGACCAUGAACGAUAUACUUUCAAUUCUGGUUUACUCUAAAAUUCCCCUGGAGUGAAAAGUUUGAAAGAGGAAUAAAAAAAAAAAUUGUGGAUUCAGCUAUAGAUUUAACUGAAAAAAAGCUCAUCCGCAUUGUAUGAUGAAACUAAAAUAUCUUUAUAUUUUCUGCAGUGAUCAUGGCUCAUCCUACAUGACUUCACAACAGUGUUUAAACUCAUGGGUUAUUUUCAAACUUGCAAAUUGCCUUGAGAAUUUGAUUAAUAAUCCCAAUUUUGAUUGCUUAAGCAAUGUGAUAUUUUCCAAACUAAAAUAACCAAAAAAUUCCUACAGAUGUCCCAAAACUACAGUGAUCUAAACAUAAUUGCUUACUUUGUCAGUAGAACAGAGAUUAUGUGAAAAGAGUUAUAGUAUAGAACCUUAAUUAGUAAAUAUUCCAAAAGUCAAGAAAAUGUUGUACAGAAUAUAUGACAUGACAUGUAAUUAUUUAUUACUCAUCUAACACCCUCUAGGUAAUCUGCAGACAUGUAGACCUGUGCACCUUUAGGUUACUUUGCAAUUUUAAGUAUGCUUUUACUUGGGUAGAGGAUAGGUCAUUUUUCAUUUCUUAGUAUGUAGUUUGGCUCAAACUUUUUAGAAUAUUGAGAGGGAGGCCUGGGUUUUGACUCCUGCGCUGGACACUCCGUUGUCUGGGAGGACCCCCGUGGAGGCACACAUGGUCUUCCCAGCUGGCAUGGGUCAGACUCUUACUUUGCUUCCAAGGGAAUCCUCAGGGAGGGCAUUUGAAGAACUCAAUGUUUCUUGAACUGUUCAAUGACAGCUUUCAUCCUGCUGUUGGAAGAACUGCCAGGCCUCCCAUAGCUGGGGCAGUGCUUACUGGUUCUGCCAGGUAAGGAUGCGGGUGUCUGAGCAGGUAAGAAAGCUGGGCUGGAGUUCCCCUGGACAAGUAUCAUCCUUGCACAAGUGAUGCCCAAAUCCUGAGCAGCCCCUUUCUGUUCCUUUUUUCAUAGGAAGAAAAGCCAAACUGUCCAAGGCAAGGAAUACUCACUAAUCAGGGCUCAAAGCCUGCAGUUGGGGAGUAAGGUGCAGAGACAAAUGGAUUUCCCUACCUGUCAGAGAGGCAGGCUCUGUGCAUAGGAGGGCUGGAGAGCCCAGGGCCUCACAGACAGUGGGGGUCUGAGUGUAUUCAUCCAAGGAACACAGCGAUGCCUGCAAUGGGUGACGCGCCAGGACCUGCAGGAGCAGGUCCGCAGUGGGAUUCGGAGAGGCCUGGAGUCGGCCUGAUGUCAAAGUCCAGGCGAGAAUGACCUGGGGCCAUCUGGCACCUCCGGAGGAUGUUCCUGGGCCUAGGAACGAGUACUCUGCAGAAAGCUUGCUUUGCUGUGUUGAAGGCCUAUGGAGUCGAUGCAGCCCCCAGGCUUGGAAGUCACAUAGUGAUUUACAAAUAACCCACGAGCUGGCAGUGGACGAGGAACAGGGAGAACUGAAAUCUAUUUAUUUUUUUAAUAUCACAAUGUCCACGCUUAUGUGACAAGUAUUCAUUAAUGUUAAAUAAAGGGUAACUUACUAUAGGAUUGGUCGAGCAGCACAAAACCAUGUACGUGAGUUAACCCACCAUCUCUUAGAUAAAAAGCCGAGACAGUACCUCUCGAGAUCUGCCCAGCUGGCGUUUCCUCCGGCUGCCUGGUGCAUCUGGGAGCUACUCUGGCUUCCUUAGCCUGUCACUCAACUUACAUUGACUCCUUGAAAGCUCUAGAAUGAUUUUGUCAUGUCUCUCUGCUUAAGAAAGAGGGUCAUGAUGUGGCAUUAUACGAAAAAUUGCUGGAGCAGAAAUUAAUGAAUAGAAAUAUUAGAAACUCAGCAAGUCCUAUGGAAGUCCCAGCAACCAGAUUCCGACUGCCUUGCAGGUUCCAAGCCCCCCUGCAUUUCAUUUCACUUGCACCUCGUUUGCUAUCGAAUCUUUCCUAAUUUUUUAAGACAAGGCUCUGACACUACCAGGUCCAAAGUCACCAUGAAUAUUUACUAAUGAGUCUAUAUCCCAAAAAAGUAGAUUUAAAAACUUAAUCUUGACUGGCUUCUAAAUGUAGCCCAAGCCUCACACUGGGCAGUUCUAAAAGCAAAUUUGAAGGCUUAUGUGGCUGUGGCAUCUGCAGAGAAAGUGCUGAUCCCACGUGCACUGCUGAGCUCUGCCCCUCCUCUUUGGAGAAUUAGCGUAUUAUGCAAAUUGUUUUACAAAUACGGUGCAGAUGUCAUUAAUAAAACAUGAAAGUGGAA